GACGAACGCUGGCGGCGUGCUUAACACAUGCAAGUCGAACGGAAAGGCCCUGCUUUUGUGGGGUGCUCGAGUGGCGAACGGGUGAGUAACACGUGAGUAACCUGCCCUUGACUUUGGGAUAACUUCAGGAAACUGGGGCUAAUACCGGCUAGGAGCUCCUGCUGCAUGGUGGGGGUUGGAAAGUUUCGGCGGUUGGGGAUGGACUCGCGGCUUAUCAGCUUGUUGGUGGGGUAGUGGCUUACCAAGGCUUUGACGGGUAGCCGGCCUGAGAGGGUGACCGGCCACAUUGGGACUGAGAGACGGCCCAGACGCCUACGUGAGGCAGCAGUGGGGAAUAUUGCACAAUGGGCGGAAGCCUGAUGCAGCAACGCCGCGUGCGGGAUGACGGCCUUCGGGUUGUAAACCGCUGUCGCCUGUGACGAAGCUUGAGUGACGGUAAUGGGUAAAGAAGCACCGGCUAACUACGUG
rnacentral:rRNA from 1 species